rnacentral:rRNA from 1 species
CUGCAACUCGCCUGCACGAAGUCGGAAUUGCUAGUAAUCGUAGGUCAGCAUACUACGGUGAAUACGUUCCCGGGCCUUGUACACACCGCCCGUCAAACCAUGAGAGUUGGCAACACCCGAAGUCGGUAGUCUAACCGCAAGGAGGACGCCGCCGAAGGUGGGGUUGAUGAUUAGGGUUAAGUCGUAACAAGGUAUC